rnacentral:rRNA from 1 species
CUGGCUCAGAACGAACGCUGGCGGCGCGUCCUAAGCAUGCAAGUCGAACGGCAAGAGGUAGCAAUACCUCCUAGAGUGGCGGACUGGUGAGUAACACGUGGGUGACAUACCCUUCAGAUGGGGAUAGCUAUUAGAAAUAGUAGAUAAUACCGAAUACGAGCACAGGGGUUAGAGAUCUGUGAGGAAAGGAGCUAAGGCUCCGCUGAAGGAAUGGCCUGCGGCCCAUUAGCUAGUUGGUGAGGUAAGAGCCCACCAAGGCGAUGAUGGGUAUCCGGCCUUAGAGGGUGAACGGACACAUUGGGACUGAGAUACGGCCCAGACUCCUACGGGAGGCAGCAGCUAAGAAUAUUCCGCAAUGGACGAAAGUCUGACGGAGCGACGCCGCGUGGAUGAAGAAGGCCGGAAGGUUGUAAAAUCCUUUUGAAACUGAAGAAUAAGCGUUGUAGGGAAUGACAGCGUGGUGACAGUUAGGUUUUGAAUAAGCAACGGCUAAUUACGUGCCAGCCGCCGC